CUUUUUAGCAUUAGGACACCCUAAGUGCACCAGAUCCUGCCUGAUCUUGGAAGCUAAACUGGGCCAACCCUGGUUAGUACUUGGAUGGGAGAACUUCAAAAAAUACCAAGUGUUAUAGGCU
rnacentral:rRNA from 11 species